rnacentral:rRNA from 1 species
GACGAACGCUGGCGGCGUGCUUAACACAUGCAAGUCGAACGGAAAGGCCUCUUCGGAGGUACUCGAGUGGCGAACGGGUGAGUAACACGUGGGUGAUCUGCCCUGCACUCUGGGAUAAGCCUGGGAAACUGGGUCUAAUACCGGAUAGGACCAUGCUUUAGUGUGUGUGGUGGAAAGUUUUUUCGGUGUAGGAUGAGCCCGCGGCCUAUCAGCUUGUUGGUGGGGUAAUGGCCUACCAAGGCGGCGACGGGUAGCCGGACUGAGAGGUUGGUCGGCCACAUUGGGACUGAGAUACGGCCCAGACUCCUACGGGAGGCAGCAGUGGGGAAUAUUGCACAAUGGGCGCAAGCCUGAUGCAGCGACGCCGCGUGGGGGAUGACGGCCUUCGGGUUGUAAACUCCUUUCGCCAGGGACGAAGCGUUUUGUGACGGUACCUGGAGAAGAAGCACCGGCUAACUACGUGCCAGCAGCCGCGGUAAUACGUAGGGUGCAAGCGUUGUCCGGAAUUACUGGGCGUAAAGAGCUCGUAGGUGGUUUGUCACGUCGUCUGUGAAAUUCCACAGCUUAACUGUGGGCGUGCAGGCGAUACGGGCUGACUUGAGUACUGUAGGGGUAACUGGAAUUCCUGGUGUAGCGGUGAAAUGCGCAGAUAUCAGGAGGAACACCGAUGGCGAAGGCAGGUUACUGGGCAGUUACUGACGCUGAGGAGCGAAAGCAUGGGUAGCAAACAGG